rnacentral:rRNA from 1 species
UACGGGGGGAGCAAGCGUUGUUCGGAUUUACUGGGCGUAAAGGGCGCGUAGGCGGCCACCGCAAGUCGACUGUGAAAUCUCCGGGCUUAACCCGGAAAGGUCAGCCGAUACUGCGGGGCUAGAGUGCAGAAGGGGCAACUGGAAUUCUCGGUGUAGCGGUGAAAUUCGUAGAUAUUCGCAAGAACACCAGUGGCGAAGGCGGCUGACUGGUCCGGUUCUGACGCUGAGGCGCGAAAGCGUGGGGAGCAAACAGG